UACGUAGGGGGCAAGCGUUGUCCGGAAUCAUUGGGCGUAAAGCGCGUGUAGGCGGCCAUGCAAGUCGGGUGUGAAAGCCCUCGGCUCAACCGAGGAAGUGCGCCCGAAACUGCGUGGCUUGAGUACCGGAGAGGGUGGCGGAAUUCCCCAAGUAGAGGUGAAAUUCGUAGAUAUGGGGAGGAACACCGGUGGCGAAGGCGGCCACCUGGACGGCUACUGACGCUGAGACGCGAAAGCGUGGGGAGCAAACAGG
rnacentral:rRNA from 1 species